rnacentral:rRNA from 1 species
GGUAGCCGGCCUGAGAGGGCGACCGGCCACACUGGGACUGAGACACGGCCCAGACUCCUACGGGAGGCAGCAGUGGGGAAUAUUGCGCAAUGGGCGAAAGCCUGACGCAGCAACGCCGCGUGAGGGAUGACGGCCUUCGGGUUGUAAACCUCUUUCAGCAGGGACGAAGCGAAAGUGACUGUACCUGCAGAAGAAGCGCCGGCUAACUACGUGCCAGCAGCCGCGGUAAUACGUAGGGCGCAAGCGUUGUCCGGAUUUAUUGGGCGUAAAGAGUUCGUAGGCGGUCUGUCGCGUCGGAAGUGAAAACCCGGAGCUCAACUCCGGGCCUGCUUUCGAUACGGGCAGACUUGAGUGUUGCAGGGGAG